GAAAGAAUAUUGAUUGAACAUCUACUCAAGAACUGCAAAACAGAGAUUACCUGACCUAAAGGAGUCCAUUCUCAAUUUUCUGUGCAAAUUGGGGAAGGCUGUUGAUAAUCGGUGGAUGCUAUAGUGCCCAUGGAAAGACUCUAGUCUGAAGAUACCAGUCUCUCCCUCCCAAGAUCACCUCCCCUGACCAACCUUCUGCACUCCUGACAGAUACAAGGGAGCAAGCAAGUUGCACCCAACCUAAUAGUAAAUUGCAGGGACAUUUCCAUUCUAAGGAAGGAAUUUUUGUGUGUGUUGCAACUCAGCUUCUGCUCUGGCAUUUUGCUGUGCAUUUAUAUUGCCAAUCAUGUUGGAGAGUCCAUGUGGUGAUUUCUGAAAACGAGAUGUGAGAAAGAAGAGGAUAAUUUAAGUCUAGACCUACAGAUUGUGCUGAUAAAGUGAUGAAGAACUACAAUCUUCUUAGUCAUUUCAUUGUAUAAGUGCAAUAAAGGAUUUUGUGUCUUUCCUGGCAAACAACUUGUGACCACAGUGAUGGCUCCAGCAGAAUGGAAAAGACCCUUUACCUCACAUCUCAGAAGUAAAGAUGCUGAUUAUUUGACAUCGCCAUUGGAAUCUCAAAACAGUGUAAAGCAUUUGCUAAAAAGAGUCACUUUCUGAGAAAUGACUCAGAAUUCGACUUACGUACUAGCAGAACUUAUUGCCCAUAAAAGGAAAGGCCACACUUUUUGUGAAAACUUAAUAAUCCCUAGGAUGUAAAAUUAUACUGAGUUAAAUCCUAGUCCCAUUUUUAGUACAAGAAACUGGAAAAAAAUAAUCCACUCUCAAAUGGUAAGACAAAUUGAGAUAUUGCUGAAAAGCCUCUUGACCCUGAAAAGUUCUGAAUAAUAAACUGAUAAAAGCAGCAGCAGCAUCUAACUUGACACCAGUCAUGUCAUUUG
rnacentral:lncRNA from 1 species